GUGUAACACUCUGCUCCCUGCAUGGAGACUGAAGGGAGGCAGGAAAACAAAAACAAGAAGUUUUGAAUUUGGCCAGAGAGAGAUAGAAAAAUAGUUCUAACAUUUUGCUCAUGUUAGGGCAGGAGACUCUAGGAGUGCUGCUGUUGCUUUGAAACUGAUUAACUGUGCAUCUGGCAUUGCCUACCUACUUUCCUAGAUUAUUGUAAAUCAACAGAACUGUCUCAGGUGCUCAUACUCAAAGGAAGCUGGCCCUGUCAAGCAGCCCUGGAAUUCCUCAUCACUAUUCUUCCUUAUGUGAGCACAUCCUAGGGAUGGUCAGCAGUAAACCUGUGAUUGGAGACAGGUUCAUAUGACCCCUCUGCAACACUAUUAUCGUCCACAACAUAUAACUCCUCAAACUAACAAUGGGAAGAGCUGACCCAGAGCCUUUGUACUGAAAAACUGCUCUUAAUAUACAUGAAGAAAUGGAGAUAAUCUUUGUAUGCCCUAACUGAAAGAGAUGUCUGAUGUUUCAAGAGAACAAGAAGAAAAUUUCUAGGCUUUAUUUUCAGAAUAAUACAAGUGAAUGGAAAGAAUCUGAAUUCAAUCAUGGUCCAGUUGCAGACAGAAUGGUGUGUGGACAUCUGGGUUCAAGUUCCAUCUCUAUCAUGCACCACUUGUGUGGUGUCACUGUUGGCAACUCAGUUCAGCCAUCUGCAAAAAAAAUCAUAGUAACCCACUUCAAAAGGCUCAUGUCAGAGUGUUUAAGACCAUAACACACACUUGAAAUUUGUAAAGUUCUGCAUCAACAGUAGGCAAACAUUCUGACCCAAAUGUAGGUGAGCUACAUUGGGCUAUAGUUACUGUGUGAUGUUAACAACUUGUUCAGUGCAGAGAGGUGUUACCACAUCCAUAAGCAUUGCAGAAAACAAAACCCUCAGUUUACUAUUGAACCAAAUCACAGGGAUUGACAGGGUUCUACAUAACACCUAAGCUUCCUUUUUGUGUUCCUCAGAAAUUUUCUUUCCAAUAAAGUAUCCAGAACAGACGUUUUGUUGAAGCCUACAAGAACCCCAUGGGUGUUAGAUUAUUUGCCCCUAUGGUGUAUAAAUGAUGUUGAUAAAAUAAAA